rnacentral:rRNA from 2 species
UGGGGAAUAUUGCACAAUGGGCGCAAGCCUGAUGCAGCCAUGCCGCGUGUAUGAAGAAGGCCUUCGGGUUGUAAAGUACUUUCAGCGGGGAGGAAGGGAGUAAAGUUAAUACCUUUGCUCAUUGACGUUACCCGCAGAAGAAGCACCGGCUAACUCCGUGCCAGCAGCCGCGGUAAUACGGAGGGUGCAAGCGUUAAUCGGAAUUACUGGGCGUAAAGCGCACGCAGGCGGUUUGUUAAGUCAGAUGUGAAAUCCCCGGGCUCAACCUGGGAACUGCAUCUGAUACUGGCAAGCUUGAGUCUCGUAGAGGGGGGUAGAAUUCCAGGUGUAGCGGUGAAAUGCGUAAAGAUCUGGAGGAAUACCGGUGGCGAAGGCGGCCCCCUGGACGAAGACUGACGCUCAGGUGCGAAAGCGUGGGGAGCAAACAGG